CCUACGUGUGGCAGCAGUGGGGAAUAUUGGGCAAUGGGCGCAAGCCUGACCCAGCAACGCCGCGUGAAGGAAGAAGGCUUUCGGGUUGUAAACUUCUUUUCUGAGGGACGAAGAAAGUGACGGUACCUCAGUAAUCAGCCACGGCUAACUACUUUCCAGCAGCCGCGGUAAUACGUAGGUGGCACGCGUUAUUCGGAUUUAUUGGGUGGAAAGGGCGUGUAGGCGGGAAAGCAAGUCAGAUGUGAAAACUCAGGGCUUAACCCUGAGCCUGCAUUUGACACUGUUUUUCUUGAGUGCUGGAGAGGCAAUCGGAAGUCCGUGGGUAGCGGUGAAAUGCGUAGAUAUACGGAGGAACACCAGUGGCGAAGGCGGAUUGCUGGACAGUAACUGACGCUGAGGCGCGAAAGCGUGGGGAGCAAACAGGAUUAGAUACCCGGGUAGUC
rnacentral:rRNA from 1 species